UACGUAGGUCGCAAGCGUUGUCCGGAUUUACUGGGCGUAAAGAGCGCGCAGGCGGCUGGUCAAGUCCGAUGUGAAAUCUCCUGGCUUAACUGGGAAACUGCAUCGGAAACUGAUCGGCUUGAAGGUGGGAGAGGGUAGUGGAAUUCCCGGUGUAGUGGUGAAAUGCGUAGAUAUCGGGAGGAACACCAGUGGCGAAGGCGACUACCUGGCCCAUUCUUGACGCUGAGGCGCGAAAGCUAGGGGAGCGAACGGG
rnacentral:rRNA from 1 species